CGAAGACUCCUUCAAAUGCGGUCGACGAAUCCGGCCUUCUUUUCGCCUGAAUGAAGGAUGGGUCCGGUGUAUCCUUCAAUAGGUAGCAUUUCCCAAGAUGCCUUGCGGGCCGGCCGGCAGAAAAACUUAAAAACAAUGGCGGACAGUGAAGCGGGAGCUGUCGGAGAGGAUUGCGCAUAUAAAUGAACAAAAGAGAAAACCAGGGAAUUUAUUAAGCUUAGGGCGGAGAUGGACCACAUGUUCACCGGAGCAAAGUAUUCGGCGGCUGUGGCAUGGAGGUACAAUAACAUCUCAUAUUUUAAAAACUCAUUUGAGUUUAUUUUUUUUUCUGCGAAAACAUGAAAGGAAUAACCCGUUGUCCUCUUUUCUCUAUCUGUUUUUUUUCUUACAUGUUUGUUAGGACUAUUCUGGAGAAAAUGAGCAUCCAGGGGAAGGUGACAGCGAUGACCAGCUUCUGGAGCUGAUCAGGGAGGACACGAGGCUGCAGAGGGAGGCAGAGCAGCAGAGGGCACAGGAGAGAAGGGAGAACUUUGACAGCUUUUUACUUUGCUAGAAAAAAAUGGUUAAUAAAGAUUAAACAUGUACAUAUAAAAGAAAUAUCUAAAUAAAAUCAGUUCUGCAUUAAACUC